AGAGUUUGAUCCUGGCUCAGGAUGAACGCUGGCGGCGCGCCUAAUACAUGCAAGUCGAGCGACGAAACCGAAGUGGGUAACCACUUCGGCUGAAAGCGGCGAACGGGUGAGUAACACGUGGGUAACGUGCCCCGAACUCAGGAAUAACAACGGGAAACCGUUGCUAAUGCCGGAUGACCCCUGCAGAUCGCAUGUUCAGCAGGGCAAAGAAUUUCGGUUCGGGAUCGGCCCGCGGCCUAUCAGCUUGUUGGUGGGGUAACGGCCUACCAAGGCAGUGACGGGUAGCUGGCGUGAGAGCGUGGCCAGCCACACUGGGACUGAGACACGGCCCAGACUCCUACGGGAGGCAGCAGUAGGGAAUCUUGCGCAAUGGGCGAAAGCCUGACGCAGCGACGCCGCGUGAGGGAUGACGGCUUUCGGGUUGUAAACCUCUUUCAGCAGGGACGAAGCCUCACGGUGACGGUACCUGCAGAAGAAGCCCCGGCUAACUACGUGCCAGCAGCCGCGGUAAUACGUAGGGGGCAAGCGUUAUCCGGAUUUAUUGGGCGUAAAGCGCGCGUAGGCGGCCGACCACGUCGGAUGUGAAAGCUCAGGGCUCAACCCUGAGAGGCCAUUCGAUACGGGUCGGCUAGAGGCAGGUAGGGGAGAAUGGAAUUCCUGGUGUAGCGGUGAAAUGCGCAGAUAUCAGGAGGAACACCGGUGGCGAAGGCGGUUCUCUGGGCCUGUUCUGACGCUGAGGUGCGAAAGCUGGGGGAGCAAACAGGAUUAGAUACCCCCGUAGUCC
rnacentral:rRNA from 1 species